rnacentral:rRNA from 1 species
UUAAACUACAAUCUCUUAAAGUUAAGUGACCGAAGCGGAAAGAGCUAACUACACAAAAUUAUAGAACUUUAGGUGACCAGAGGUAAUGUGGCAAAAUUACUUAAUAGAUGUGAUAGUUAGGGGUGAAAGGCUAUUCAAAUUUCGUUGAUAACUGGAUUAAGCUAAAAAAUAUUAAGUAUUUCCGACACAAGCUCAAAAAUCUAAGCUUUUGAGUUUAUUAAGAUAUAUGUUAGAGAAAUUAAAAUCAACUUUAUUAAUAUAACAAUACCUAAAACCAAUUAAUAAUUAAUUUACUUUUAUUUUUUAAAUCUUUAAGUUUAUUUAUUUAAGUUAACUAUUAACUCAUAUUAAUAAUGUUUAAAUGAGUAUAGAACACAUAAAAAAAAAUAGGAACUCGGCAAAAAUUUUCUUCAACUGUUUAUCAAAAACAUAGCUAGUAGGUUAUACUUCAUUAUUAGUUAGCUCUGCCCGGUGAUGUAAAAUUUAACGGCCGCAGUACACUGACUGUGCAAAGGUAGCAUAAUCAAUUGGCUAUUAAUUGUAGUCGAGUAUGAAGGAGUCCAUGGGGAAAAGCUGUCUUUUUUUUUAUUUCUAGAACUUGCUAAGCAAGUGCAAAAACUUGCGUUUUGUUAUAAUAGACGAGAAGACCCUAUAAAUUUUUACUAAUAUUAGAAGAUAUCUUGAUCGUUUUUGUUGGGGCAACAAUGUAACACAAUAAAGAAAUUUACAAUGAAAAUAUGAUUUAUAAAACGAGUUUUACUAAGAACAACUAAAUUACUAUAGGGAUAACAGCAUAAUUUUAAUAUUAAGAUUGUGACCUCGAUGUUGGAUUAGGAACUUAACAAAUUAACAGUUUGCUUAAGGGUUCUGUUCGAACUUCUACACCUACAUGAUCUGAGUCAGACCGG